rnacentral:rRNA from 1 species
AACGAACGCUGGCGGCGUGGAUAAGACAUGCAAGUCGAACGGUGAAGGAGAGCUUGCUCUCCGGAUCAGUGGCGAACGGGUGAGUAACACGUGGGCAACCUGCCCCAGACUUCGGGAUAACGCUUCGAAAGAGGUGCUAAUACCGGAUACGAACUCCUUGGGCAUCCUUGGAGUUGGAAAGUUUUUCGGUCUGGGAUGGGCCCGCGGCCUAUCAGCUUGUUGGUGAGGUAACGGCUCACCAAGGCGACGACGGGUAGCCGGCCUGAGAGGGCGACCGGCCACACUGGGACUGAGACACGGCCCAGACUCCUACGGGAGGCAGCAGUGGGGAAUAUUGCGCAAUGGGCGAAAGCCUGACGCAGCAACGCCGCGUGAGGGAUGACGGCCUUCGGGUUGUAAACCUCUUUCAGCAGGGAAGAAGCGAAAGUGACGGUACCUGCAGAAGAAGCACCGGCUAACUACGUGCCAGCAGCCGCCGUAAAAC